CCUACGGGGGGCAGCAGUGGGGAAUAUUGCGCAAUGGGCGAAAGCCUGACGCAGCGACGCCGCGUGAGGGAUGAAGGUCUUCGGAUCGUAAACCUCUGUCAGCAGGGAAGAACGGUCACUGUGCUAAUCAGCAGUGAAUUGACGGUACCUGCAAAGGAAGCACCGGCUAACUCCGUGCCAGCAGCCGCGGUAAUACGGAGGGUGCGAGCGUUAAUCGGAAUUACUGGGCGUAAAGCGCUCGUAGGCGGUAUGUCAAGUCAAGGGUGAAAGCCCCGCGCUCAACGUGGGAACUGCCUUUGAAACUGGCAAACUGGAGUGUAGUAGAGGAUAGUGGAAUUCCAGGUGUAGGAGUAAAAUCCGUAGAUAUCUGGAGGAACAUCAGUGGCGAAGGCGACUAUCUGGCACAUAACUGACGCUGAGGAGCGAAAGCGUGGGUAGCAAACAGGAUUAGAUACCCUUGUAGUC
rnacentral:rRNA from 1 species